rnacentral:ncRNA from 1 species
CCUGGUAACAGAAACAAUUAUAGAGAAGCAGUCGAGAGAUAUCGGAAGAGUUUCUUUUCUGUUUUAUAGUCAUACUAUCAUGGAAGUCUUUCGAAUAGAGAUAUAGUAGAUUGACUAGAAGAGCAUGACAUUUACUGAUGUGUCGAUAUUUUCUUCUCGGACCUUGAAAAUAUAUGG